UGGCAUGAGGCCAAGGAGAAGAUUAUUAGCAAUGUCACGGCAGAAGAUCAAAAUCACAAUUUGCUGACCACCUACCAGCAAGGAAGGCAGGAGACUGAGAAGGCAGAAGACCUUGACAUUAAUUUGAAAUAAAUGUCCACAAGCAUCAUGAUCGGGCAGUUCUUUGUCCUGCCACCUCAUGAAAACCAGCAGUGAGUUGGAAGCAAUGACAAAGCGGGGAGAGACCCCCUCCCCCAUUUUACAGUGAAGAGAUGAAGACCCGAG